AGUUCAUGACUCUGCACAAUCUUCUUCUGUCAUGGUCUGAUAGCUCAGGAUGUGCCUGGUUACGAAAGACACCAAUAGCUUCAACACAUUUAGGAAUGGAGUGCUUUUUUUCCUACUGUUUUGCUGUUGGCAAUUUUCUAGUAGUGACGAAUGUAUGCUUGCUAGAAAGGUAGAAAAGUUGGAAAUCUGUAUGUAUUCGGGUUUGUAUUUUAAAUUUUUAAUCAAUAACUGGAUAUUAGUAUCAAUCGUGUAAUCACUUUGUGAAUACAGUGAUUCGACCUUA